rnacentral:rRNA from 1 species
CGAUGAAGGGAGCUUGCUCCUGGAUUAGUGGCGAACGGGUGAGUAACACGUGAGUAACCUGCCCUUGACUCUGGGAUAAGCCUGGGAAACUGGGUCUAAUACCGGAUAUGACCUUCCAUCGCAUGGUGGUUGGUGGAAAGCUUUUGUGGUUUUGGAUGGACUCGCGGCCUAUCAGCUUGUUGGUGGGGUAAUGGCCUACCAAGGCGACGACGGGUAGCCGGCCUGAGAGGGUGACCGGCCACACUGGGACUGAGACACGGCCCAGACUCCUACGGGAGGCAGCAGUGGGGAAUAUUGCACAAUGGGCGCAAGCCUGAUGCAGCGACGCCGCGUGAGGGAUGACGGCCUUCGGGUUGUAAACCUCUUUCAGUAGGGAAGAAGCCGCAAGGUGACGGUACCUGCAGAAGAAGCGCCGGCUAACUACGUGCCAGCAGCCGCGGUAAUACGUAGGGCGCAAGCGUUAUCCGGAAUUAUUGGGCGUAAAGAGCUCGUAGGCGGUUUGUCGCGUCUGCCGUGAAAGUCCGGGGCUCAACUCCGGAUCUGCGGUGGGUACGGGCAGACUAGAGUGAUGUAGGGGAGACUGGAAUUCCUGGUGUAGCGGUGAAAUGCGCAGAUAUCAGGAGGAACACCGAUGGCGAAGGCAGGUCUCUGGGCAUUAAC